UCCAAACGGGCAAUUUGAAAGGACAACCCCACCAAAAACCAUUAUAAUUGUAAAUUGAAAUAAUUUAUAUUAAAAAUGUUUGUACCUAUGUAAUUGUACAUGUAAAGCUGGAAAUUCAGCCAUACCAUGGAAAAUUUGAAAAAAUUAAGCACCACAGACAUCAAACAACAGUGGGGAUAAUUAAAAAAACAAUAAUACAACAUAGUCAACAAUAAAGUCCUACCAGUCUGCUGAUAAAUGGGCUACUGAUAUUGUACUAAAUUAUGAUUUAGCUCUAUUUUACUCAAUAAUGUUGAAGUAAGCUACAGUAACUCUGUUGAAAUGACUUUAGCUAUGCUAAACCAAACUGGAGAAGCAUGGAAAAAGCUGACUUGACUGCAAGUAACUGGAACAAUUUAUUGCCAUUUAUUUACUUAUGAUAAAAAUAAAAGCCCAAGUUGGCCACUUAAAGUCAACUAAUUGUAUAAUUCCAAUUUUAAAGAAAAUACUGUACCCUUCCGUGG
rnacentral:lncRNA from 1 species